AGAGUUUGAUCCUGGCUCAGGACGAACGCUGGCGGCGUGCUUAACACAUGCAAGUCGAGCGAGGAAAUUGCUUCGGUAAUUUCCUAGCGGCGGACGGGUGAGUAACACGUGGGCAACCUGCCUGAUAGAGGGGGAUAGCCUCCCGAAAGGGAGAUUAAUACCGCAUAAAGUCAAAUGAAGGCAUCUUCAAAUGACCAAAGGAGUAAUCCGCUAUCAGAUGGGCCCGCGGCGCAUUAGCUAGUUGGUGAGGUAACGGCUCACCAAGGCGACGAUGCGUAGCCGACCUGAGAGGGUGAUCGGCCACAUUGGGACUGGGACACGGCCCAGACUCCUACCGGAGGCAGCAGUGGGGAAUAUUGCACAAUGGGGGAAACCCUGAUGCAGCAACGCCGCGUGAGUGAUGAAGGCCUUCGGGUUGUAAAGCUCUGUCUUCAGGGACGAUAAUGACGGUACCUGAGGAGGAAGCCACGGCUAACUACGUGCCAGCAGCCGCGGUAAUACGUAGGUGGCAAGCGUUGUCCGGAUUUACUGGGCGUAAAGGGAGCGUAGGCGGUUACUUAAGUGGGAUGUGAAAUACCUGGGCUUAACUUUGGUGCUGCAUUCCAAACUGGGUGUCUAGAGUGUUGGAGAGGCCAGUGGAAUUCCUAGUGUAGCGGUGAAAUGCGUAGAGAUUAGGAAGAACACCAGUGGCGAAGGCGACUUUCUGGACAAUAACUGACGCUGAGGCUCGAAAGGGUGGGGAGCAAACAGGAUUAGAUACCCUGGUAGUCCACGCCGUAAACGAUGGGUACUAGGUGUAGGGGGUAUCGACUCCCCCUG
rnacentral:rRNA from 1 species